rnacentral:rRNA from 1 species
AUUGAACGCUGGCGGCAGGCCUAACACAUGCAAGUCGAGCGGAUGAAGGGAGCUUGCUCCUGGAUUCAGCGGCGGACGGGUGAGUAAUGCCUAGGAAUCUGCCUGGUAGAGGGGGAUAACGUCCGGAAACGGGCGCUAAUACCGCAUACGUCCUGAGGGAGAAAGUGGGGGAUCUUCGGACCUCACGCUAUCAGAUGAGCCUAGGUCGGAUUAGCUAGUUGGUGGGGUAAAGGCCUACCAAGGCGACGAUCCGUAACUGGUCUGAGAGGAUGAUCAGUCACACUGGAACUGAGACACGGUCCAGACUCCUACGGGAGGCAGCAGUGGGGAAUAUUGGACAAUGGGCGAAAGCCUGAUCCAGCCAUGCCGCGUGUGUGAAGAAGGUCUUCGGAUUGUAAAGCACUUUAAGUUGGGAGGAAGGGCAGUAAGUUAAUACCUUGCUGUUUUGACGUUACCAACAGAAUAAGCACCGGCUAACUUCGUG